GAUAAACGCUGGCGGCGUGCCUAAUACAUGCAAGUUGAGCGGUAAGGUUCUGCACCCACUAUUUGACCAGAUAAGUUUCUUGCAAAAGAAAUACUGUCUGCAGCGAUGAUCUCUGGCUGAGAUUAUAGUCGAAUGAUGAGUGUAGAAUACACGAGCGGCGGACGGCAGAGUAACGCGUAGGAACGUACCCCAAACAGAGGCAUAACGGCCCGGGAAACCGGUCAAUACCGCAUAAUAUCUUCGGAUUAAAGCUUCGGCGGUUUGGGAGCGGCCUGCGUAUGAUUAGCUAGUUGGUGAGGUAAUGGCUCACCAAGGCGACGAUCAUUAGCUGGUCUGAGAGGA
rnacentral:rRNA from 1 species